rnacentral:rRNA from 1 species
GAUGAACGCUGGCGGCGUGCCUAAUACAUGCAAGUCGAGCGAAUGGAUUAAGAGCUUGCUCUUAUGAAGUUAGCGGCGGACGGGUGAGUAACACGUGGGUAACCUGCCCAUAAGACUGGGAUAACUCCGGGAAACCGGGGCUAAUACCGGAUAAUAUUUUGAACUGCAUGGUUCAAAAUUGAAAGGCGGCUUCGGCUGUCACUUAUGGAUGGACCCGGGUCGAAUUGGCUCGUUGGUGAGGUAACGGCUCACCAAGGCAACGAUGCGUAGCCGACCUGAGAGGGUGAUCGGCCACACUGGGACUGAGACACGGCCCAGACUCCUACGGGAGGCAGCAGUAGGGAAUCUUCGGCAAUGGGCGAAAGCCUGACCGAGCAACGCCGCGUGAGCGAUGAAGGCCUUCGGGUCGUAAAGCUCUGUUGUUAGGGAAGAACACGUAUGAGAGUAACUGCUCGUACCUUGACGGUACCUAACCAGAAAGCCACGGCUAACUACGUGCCAGCCGCCGCCGUAA